rnacentral:lncRNA from 1 species
CUGCUGUCUUUUUAGAUAAUGGCAGUCGGCAUCUACAGUAACAGUGGAAUAACCAGGGGUGGAGUUCUAGGGGAUGGAACCCCCUUUUUUUUUACGAUCAAUGCAAUUGAAUGGGGAAAUAUCGUUGGAACCCCAGUUUCUCCGUGGUUGUACUUUUCAGGACACAUUCUAGAAGAUGAACAGAUAUAUAUAAUGACCCUGUGGUAAAUCACAUCUACACUUGAUACCUAGAUACUAUCCAGUAUUUAAUUCAAAUUUAUUGUGUUAUCUUCCCUUCAAUUGUAAACAUAAUCCACUAUUUGCAAGUAAAAUAUGUCUAUUCAACUAUGCCUUAUCUGUCAGAUCUAGAUUACUGUAUAAGAUAACUGAUCAUUAUCACAUAUUUG